CAUUUGUCAAAACCCUAAAAGGCCUGGCGUCAUUACGGGUUGCUUGCCUUCUGAACUGGAAACAAAAUGAGGUCCAACACCUAGGCUGCGUUUGGGGGGGCUUUUUUGCUCCCCUGCUUAUAAGCGCCUCGACCUCUCGCGUUUGGUAAACUAGCUUCUCUUCAACUUUUUCCAGAAGCCAGAGCUUUUUCGAUGGAAAAGCCAAAGCCGCCGGUGCCUUGCUUUUAGAAGCAGGGGAUGGCUUUUGUCACUGUAGCGGUGUUACUGUAGUUUAAUGAACUUUCAGAAAUACCGAUUUCUAUCCUCUCUUCGUUUCGACAAUUACACAAUGCCAUAAAUUUUUUCUCUUCCGUGUUCACCUCUCUUCAUUUCGGAAAUACCGUCUGCAUGACUGUGGGUUGAUCUCUCUCUCUGACUGCCUUCAUCUAAUCUCUCAUCCGUGUUCGAAAUCGAUGCCUCAAUCCUUGAUGGCUGGCUUCUUGGCAAUUUGAUUCAGGUAUUGAACUGGAAUUCCGAAUAUAUUGCCUAUGAUCAGCUUGGCAAGUUUGAGGAACAAUUGCCCAAGAUCUGGUGGAGACCAAAACCUGUUCUUCCUGGACUUUGUGAGCCCAACAAAGUUUGACAACAGCUACUUCAAGAACUUAUUGACUAACAAGGGCCUGCUUAACUCUGACCAAGUUCUUGUUACAAAGAGUGAAGUAGCCAAGUAAUUGGUUCAGCAAUAUGCAAUGAACAACGAGCUUUUCCUCGAGCAAUUUUCCAAGUCCAUGAUUAAGAUGGGAAUCUUUCACCAAUUACAGGUUCAAGGGGAGAGAUCAGAAAGAAUUGCAGGAAGGUCAACUACUCUUGAUAGACUGUGAUUUCUAGGUCACUAGAAGUUGACAUGUAGUACAUGAUGAUCAUCAUGGGGUGUUCUAUUACCUUCUCUAUGUUUUUGAAGUUCUUGUUUCCAGUAUUUAGCUUUUAUAUCAGUCAGAGAUGUACUCUUCUUUGGUUAUUCUCAUUAAUAAAAGUAUCGUCAAUUUUCGAAAAGAAAAACUUGCUCUUUGGUAUCUUUUGA